UACGGGGGGGCAAGCGUUGUUCGGAAUUACUGGGCGUAAAGGGUUUGUAGGUGGCUUGUUAAGUCAGACGUGAAAUCCCUCAGCUUAACUGGGGAACUGCGUCUGAUACUGGCGAGCUUGAGUGCAGGAGAGGAACGCGGAAUUCCAGGUGUAGCGGUGAAAUGCGUAGAUAUCUGGAGGAACACCGGUGGCGAAGGCGGGUCUCUGGGCAGUAACUGACGCUGAGGAGCGAAAGCGUGGGGAGCGAACAGG
rnacentral:rRNA from 1 species